AACCAGCACCUCAAGUGGUCAGGAUGAUUAUUGGGCCUAAAGCAUCCGUAGCCGGCUCUGUUAGUUUUCGGUUAAAUCUAUGUGCUCAACGCAUGGGCUGCCGAAAAUACUGCAGAGCUAGGGAGUGGGAGAGGUAGACGGUACUCGGUAGGAAGGGGUAAAAUCCUUUGAUCUAUCGAUGACCACCUGUGGCGAAGGCGGUCUACCAGAACACGUUCGACGGUGAGGGAUGAAAGCUGGGGGAGCAAACCGG
rnacentral:rRNA from 1 species